rnacentral:misc_RNA from 1 species
AGGGGGGUCGGCUGGCGCCGGCCGGGCCUACAAGAGCGGGUGACAGAGCCCCAUACGCUCGAGGACCGGACGCGGUGCCGCCGCUGCCUUUCGGGCCCGUCCCCCUGGUGGGGGGGACGGGGGCCCAACACACAAGCCGUGCUUGAGGGCAGCAAUGACGCUCGGACAGGCAUGCCCUCCGGAAUACCAGAGGGCGCAAU